rnacentral:rRNA from 1 species
UACGGAGGGGGCUAGCGUUGUUCGGAAUUACUGGGCGUAAAGCGUACGUAGGCGGAUUUGUAAGUCAGGGGUGAAAUCCCGGGGCUCAACCUCGGAACUGCCUUUGAUACUGCAAAUCUCGAGUCCGGAAGAGGUGAGUGGAAUUCCUAGUGUAGAGGUGAAAUUCGUAGAUAUUAGGAAGAACACCAGUGGCGAAGGCGGCUCACUGGUCCGGUACUGACGCUGAGGUGCGAAAGCGUGGGGAGCAAACAGG